CCCUCCUCGAAUUGUUGUUGCUUGGCGGGGAGGCAGGAGAGGGAGGAGCGCGACCGCCCCGAUUGCAACUACAAAGGCUACAUUUUGAGUGUGGAGGUGCCCACAGUUUAGAAGAACCCUGAACCCACCCCUGAGUCUCCCCUUCAAGAAGAGCCACCCUGACUACAUCAGACCGUAAUGGAGAGAAUGUGCAGAAGGAAGAGAAGAAGAUCCCAUGACUGAAGUCUAAGGAAUUUCAACAUUGAGACGUUGGAUUGUGAAGGUGGAACCACAGUAACAAGACACCUAAAAUAACAAGAUACGUUAGAAGAGAAGGUGAGCCUGUCAUCAGAAGUCCUUGAAAUAUCCUGACUCCUAUAUCCCAAUGAGGACAUGAGAAGAGCACUUCUGGAAGACGUGGAUCCUCCUGAUUCUUCAGGAACUUUAUUUAUGUUCUGGUCUCCUCCCAGGGAAUCCCCUUCACACCUUAUAAUCUUUUGGGAAACAGAGAGAGAACUGUGGUGUCAAGGCCACGCUGAGUUCUAAUUCAACUCAGCUGUCAGAAGAGCAGGAACUUCUAAAUUUCCU
rnacentral:lncRNA from 1 species